AAGUGAUUCUAUCACACAAAGGAGGAUGGUUUUUGUUUCGAGUUGUGUCAUUGUGGAGUGGGGUACCACAGUGAUUCAUUUCUGUUUUUGCCUCAUACAAAAACCUCACAGAGAUUGAUUUGCUGCCACUGCACUGAAAAAUUCUUCCGAGGCUGUUCUGUCAUCAUAGAUGUGAACACCUCCACUGCAGCUUGGGGUUUCAUCUCAUGGAUAUGAAUUUUUAACAUUAACAGCAGUUUUAUUCAAAUAUGUCUGUUGAGAAGAUUGUAGAGAUGACAGUAUUUCUCUCUCUUCCAUGUGAGACAGCCCCUCAACAGAGGCCAUGGUUUUUGUACUGAGGUUUUUCACCGUGUUGGGACUACCACAGUGAUACAUUCUUCAUUAGGUGCUGUACAAAAUCUCAUAACACUGUUAUUUCUGUGUAUAAACUGUAAUGAUAAAUUUAAACCAAUAUAUGACUGAAAGACUGAACUAUCACAGAACUGUUCUCUCAGUUUUGUUGCUUUUGACUUGAAGGCUUUUCUUCCAGCCACUUGUUUGUAUGUGAAUGGUGCAGACAUGGAUAUAUCAUGAGGAUGGACCGACAGAUGGAAUUGCCUUCGAAAGAAUAUCAAACUGGAUUUCUUUGACUGGAUAUUUCACAUCAUAAGUCCAGAUAAGUCUAUAGUGUAUUUCUUAAGAUGUUAGGAUACUUUCCAUUACCAAAGGAUAUUGUCAGAGGGCUGACUGAAGUGUGCCGACCCACUAACUUUUGGGAAUCCCAUCCGUCUCACGGUCAAACCAAAAAAUCAACUGAAAACUCCUCCAUUACUGUCCAUCUUGUCCCCUUUGGAGGACAAUGGACCAGAUAUUUGCCUGGCCGCCGGGUUCUUUCCUGAAGA